rnacentral:ncRNA from 1 species
UUUUUAUAUUAUAAUCUAUAUAAGUUUUAUUCUAGCUUAGGAGUUAGCUUCAAGAUAAUUAUACAUGUAUGUUUAAGCUGGUUAAUAGGCUUUCUAAAGGGAAGCUUUUAUAAUUAGUCGCAGUUUUUAGAAUUAAGUAUUUAUGUCAAUAAGACUUAGUUAAUUUUUGUAAUGGUCUGACUAAUUUUGUGCCAGCAGUCGCGGUUAUUCAUUAAGUCCUAGUUAAUUAUUUUGGUAAAAAUUAUAUUUGUAUCAGCAAAACUUAUAAUUAUAAUUUAUUGGGUGAAAUCUUAAUUAUAAUUAAAGUUUUAGGCAAUAAUAUUUAAGGAAUUGAUCAUGAAACUAGGAUUAGAUACCCUAUUAUUCAAUUUGUAAUUUUAGUUUACCUUAGUAGUAUUAGUUAUGCUCUUGAAAUUAAAAGAAUUUGGCGGUAACUUAGUCUAUCCAGAGGAACCUGCUCUUUAAUCGAUGAUCCACGAGGAAUUUUACUUUUUUUAAGCUUGUAUACCUCUGUUAUUGAAUGUAUUAUAAGGUUUAUUUUCUACUUUCUUUAUGAGAACUAUAUCAGGUCAAGGUGCAGCAAUAAAGAAGCUAGUGGUGGGUUACUUUAUUAUUAAUUUAGGAUUUUUUAAUGGAAAAUUUAUAAUGAAUAAGGAUUUGGUAGUAAUAAUUAAUAUUUAUUAAUUAUGAUUUAAGCUCUGAGUUAUGCACACAUCGCCCGUCGCUCUUGGAUUCAAGAUAAGUCGUAACAAAGUAGAUUUACUGGAAAGUAAAUCUUGAUUAUA